ACGCCCCAGUUGUCCAUAACCGACGAUAAAGCUGAGGUGGUUGCUAUACAAAUAACUUUGUUUCCGAAACAAGGGUUUUGCAUAUCCGUCUUGACUCACCACGCUGUCAUCGACGGGAUAAGCAAAACAAUGUUUGAGAGAUCUUGGGCUUAUUUCUGAAAACAAAUAAUUCAGAUGCAACAACAAAACCUUAAUAAUUCUUCGAUAUUAUUACCCACCAAGCUAAUCCCGUGCUUUGACCGGACUCUCAUCAAAGAUCGGAAAGGGCUGGACGUGGUUUAUGCGAACCACUGGCUGGCUUUUCAAUCCGACAAGCGAAGCUUGAAGCUCGUUAGUAUGCCGGCUCUGAAAGCACAUUCCAGCAUGGUUCGAAGGAGUUUCGAAUUGACCCGCGAAGACAUAAAGAAACUGAGGGACAAGGUACAGGGAAAUGAGGUUCUCAUAAGACAAGCAAAAGAACUUCAUUUGUCGUCUUAUGUGCUUACAUGUGCUUAUGUCUACGUUUGCCUGAUUAAAGCAAUGGGAGUAGAAGGUGACGCACCUGUUAUGCUGCGGGUCGGAGCAAAUUGUAGGAGCCGGUUGGAUCCUCCUCUUCCGGUUAAUUAUUUUGGUAACUGUGUUAGUGGGCAUGGUACCCCUGCAAAGGUAAGCGAUGUCGUGGAUCCGGAAAA
rnacentral:lncRNA from 1 species